rnacentral:rRNA from 1 species
UACGUAGGAGGCGAGCGUUGUCCGGAAUUACUGGGCGUAAAGAGCGCGUAGGCGGCGCGGUACGACCGCUGUGAAAGUCCCCAGCUCAACUGGGGGAGGGUCAGCGGUACGGCCGUGCUAUGAGUGCAGGAGAGGGAAGUGGAACUCCGGGAGUAGCGGUGAAAUGCGUAGAGACCCGGAGGAACACCAGUGGCGAAGGCGGCUUCCUGGUCUGCGACUGACGCUGUGGCGCGAAAGCUAGGGGAGCAAACGGG